rnacentral:rRNA from 1 species
UAGAUACCCCACUAUGCUUAGCCCUAAACAUUAAUAGCACAUUACACCAGCUAUUCGCCUGGGUACUACGAGCAUAAGCUUAAAACCCAAAGGACUUGGCGGUGCUUAAGAUCCACCUAGAGGAGCCUGUUCUAGAACCGAUAACCCUCGUUAAACCUCACCCUCCCUUGUUUUUUCCGCCUAUAUACCGCCGUCGUCAGCUUACCCUAUGAAGGAAUAAUAGUAAGCUAAAUUGGUACAACCUAAAACGUCAGGUCGAGGUGUAGCGCAUGAGAGGGGAAGAAAUGGGCUACAUUCACUACUAUAGUGAACACGAAUGAUGGACUGAAAUUUCCAUCUGAAGGAGGAUUUAGCAGUAAGCAAAGAAUAGAGUGCUCCGCUGAAACCGGCUCUAAAGCGCGCACACACCGCCGGU